rnacentral:lncRNA from 1 species
GACAUGGCACCUUCCCUCCUCAGUACCCUCUCGCCCAAUCUACCGAGGAGGAGGCCCUUGAGGACAUUACUGAUGAUGUCCCUCCACGUCAUGAGGACCCACCAUCUCAGCCACCACCUCCUUCUCGUCCAAUUCAUGCGGCGGCUUCAUACGCUAACAUCUCUGAGCGCUUUACCCAAUUCGAGCAACAGUGUUUUCAGC